rnacentral:rRNA from 1 species
UACCCUAUUAUUUUUAUUAUAAAGGAAGUUAAACUGGAGUAUUAAUAGUUAUGAUCUUGAAACUUAAAGAAUUUGGCGGUAUUAUAAUCUAUUUAGAGGAAUCUGUUAUAUAAUUGAUAUUCCACAUUGAACCUUACUUAAGUUAUUUCUUGUAUAUCGCUGUUUAAGAAUAUAUUUAAAGGUAAUUUUCUAAAUAUGUAAUUAAUUAAAAUUUCAAGUCAAGGUGCAGUAAUAUUUAAGUUGAGUAAUGGAUUACAAUAAAUUGUAUUUAUAUGGAUUAUUACUGAAAUGUAAUAUUGAAAUUGGAUUUAAUAGUAAUUUUAUAAAGAUUAUUAAAA